UGGAGCUUGCUCUGAUUCGGUCAGCGGCGGACGGGUGAGUAACACGUGGGCAACCUGCCCGCAAGACCGGGAUAACUCCGGGAAACCGGAGCUAAUACCGGAUAACACCGAAGACCGCAUGGUCUUUGGUUGAAAGGCGGCCUUUGGCUGUCACUUGCGGAUGGGCCCGCGGCGCAUUAGCUAGUUGGUGAGGUAACGGCUCACCAAGGCGACAAUGCGUAGCCGGCCUGAGAGGGUGACCGGCCACACUGGGACUGAAACACGGCCCAAACUCCUACGGGAGGCAGCAGUAGGGAAUCUUCCGCAAUGGGCGAAAGCCUGACGGAGCGACGCCGCGUGAGCGAAGAAGGCCUUCGGGUCGUAAAGCUCUGUUGUGAGGGACGAAGGAGCGCCGUUCGAAGAGGGCGGCGCGGUGACGGUACCUCACGAGGAAGCCCCGGCUAACUACGUGCCAGCAGCCGCGGUAAUACGUAGGGGGCGAGCGUUGUCCGGAAUUAUUGGGCGUAAAGCGCGCGCAGGCGGUUCCUUAAGUCUGAUGUGAAAGCCCACGGCUCAACCGUGGAGGGUCAUUGGAAACUGGGGGACUUGAGUGCAGGAAAGGAGAGCGGAAUUCCACGUGUAGCGGUGAAAUGCGUAGAGAUGUGGAGGAACACCAGUGGCGAAGGCGGCUCUCUGGCCUGCAACUGACGCUGAGGCGCGAAAGCGUGGGGAGCAAACAGGAUUAGAUACCCUGGUAGUCCACGCCGUAAACGAUGAGUGCUAAGUGUUAAAGGGGUCACACCCUUUAGUGCUGCAGCUAACGCGAUAAGCACUCCGCCUGGGGAGUACGGCC
rnacentral:rRNA from 1 species